rnacentral:rRNA from 1 species
AUGGAUUUAUCUAGACCAAUAUAUUGGAUUUUUAUGCUAUUUGGGGGAUUUCUUCUUCUACUAGGGGGUUUACCAGUAUUCUUGUUUAUAUAUCCGUAUUCCAUUUUAUUAUUUAAUUCAUACUUUGUAGCUGUCGCACAACUUCUUAUUUAUGUGGGAGCCAUAAAUGUCGCAAUCAUAUUCACCAUAAUGUUCAUAAAUCGCUCAGAAUGGUCUGAAGAUAAGAAUCGUUGGACUAUUGGAGAUGGGUUUACUUCACUCUUUUGUAUAACUAUUGUUCUUUCACUAAUGACUACUAUCCCAGAUACAUCAUGGUAG